UAUGUCCUACGGGAGGCAGCAGUGAGGAAUAUUGGUCAAUGGGCUUACGCCUGAACCAGCCAAGUCGCGUGAGGGAAGACUGCCCUAUGGGUUGUAAACCUCUUUUGUCAGGGAGCAAUUGGCGCUACGUGUAGCGUUAUCGAGAGUACCUGAAGAAAAAGCAUCGGCUAACUCCGUGCCAGCAGCCGCGGUAAUACGGAGGAUGCGAGCGUUAUCCGGAUUUAUUGGGUUUAAAGGGUGCGUAGGCGGUCGGAUAAGUUAGAGGUGAAAUCCCGAGGCUCAACUUCGGAAUUGCCUCUGAUACU
rnacentral:rRNA from 1 species